UGCAUUCGUAUUAGAGACUUAUCUCUUUAGCCUCUUUUCAUCUUUUCUGCUUCUCUCCUUCUCCCUCAGCCCUAGAGCAAAGUAGUGAAGAAGCAAAAGAAGCAAGUUGGAAACCGGCUGUUUGGUGCUUGCGGGUUGUAGGAGAAUUGCCGAGCUGGAAUUCGAGUCCUUAAAGCUAAGAGGAAUUUGGAAGAGCACUUAAUUAAGCCCUGAAAUUUGAACUUGUGGAGUCGAAAAUUCUCACUGUUGAAGCUGCUGUACAACUUGAUCCGGCAUCCAAUUAAGUUGCAGCCUGGGUGUUUUCAGACUUGGAAAGGUGGCCGAGCAUCAACCUGAUACUAUUGGUGCUGAGGAAAAAGUCUGGUUGGAGUAGUAAUUAAGGAAGGUGGCUAAGCUGAGAGUAAUCCAAGGGGACAGCAAACUUGAAAAUUGGUGUUGUUGGUUGGGAUCGGGAUCAAUAUAAUGGUUUAAGAGAAGUUUUAAAGGGUUAAUUUGAUACAGGUAUAUAAGAAAUUAAAGAGGAAUUGUGAAGCUGCUACUUUGGGGAACCCUUGGUGUCCUGGGCUGAAAAGAGAAAUUAGAGGAGUUUGAGCUCAACCUGCAAGGAGGAAUGCAGUGAAGUAAAUUUCAGCAAUACAGCUUAAUUGCUGCUGGAACUUGAAGCAAGUUAAUUGAGCAAUAAGCUAAGCGGCUACAGCUGAGGUGAAGUUGCUGCUUCAAGGUUAAACAUACUUAGGAGUUCGAAUUGACAUUCUGACGGGUCGGCGACGCACUAAUUACGGUAGAAGUCGUUUAAGCUCUAUUUGCACGGAGUCGCGAGAGCUCAUUAUUGACACAGUUCGAGACAUUAAUUCUAGCUGUUGGCAUCCCUACAGGUUCCAGCGCGAGCGGUGUGGCCGAGAAUCGCGGCAGGAGCCCAGCAGUUUAGCUAGCAAACACCCGAGUUUAGUGGUAUACCAUUUUGGGUUUCAUGUUGUACAUAAUGAUGAACAUAGGGAAAUGUAAAUGAAAGUGUAAAUGAUGUAAAUGACUAAAUGCUUCAGUUAUCCAGUUUUAUAGUUUUAAAAUUACAGUGAAUACAUGUUUAGUUAAGUUCA